rnacentral:rRNA from 1 species
UCAAGCGCGAUAAGGGCGUUUGGUGGAUGCCUUGGCAGCAAGAGGCGAUGAAGGACGUGAUACCCUGCGAUAAGCCACGGGGAGCCGGGAAUAGGCUUCGAUCCGUGGAUCUCCGAAUGGGGCAACCCACUUGACACUCCGUUACUGACCGGUUGCCGGUCAAUAGCGAGGUGAACCAAGUAUCUUCAACCUGAAUACAUAGGGUUUUAGAAGCGAACCCGGGGAACUGAAACAUCUAAGUACCCGGAGGAAAGGAAAUCAACCGAGACUCCGCAAGUAGUGGCGAGCGAACGCGGACUAGCCGAGCCGUGAGAGUGACCGGAACAGGUUUGGAAAACCUGGCCAUAGAGGGUGAUAGCCCCGUACGGGAAGCUCAAGCGGACGUAUUAAGUAGGGCGGGACACGUGAAAUCCUGUUUGAACAUCGGGGGACCACCCUCGAAGGCUAAGUACUCCUUGCUGACCGAUAGCGAACAAGUACCGUGAGGGAAAGGUGAAAAGCACCCCGACGAGGGGAGUGAAACAGACCUGAAACCGGACGCCUACAAUCAGUCGGAGCCUUUUUAAGGUGACGGCGUACCUUUUGUAUAAUGGGUCAUCGACUUGGUCUUGCGUGCAAGCUUAAGCCGUUAGGUGUAGGCGCAGCGAAAGCGAGUCUUAACAGGGCGACCGAGUACGCAGGAUCAGACCCGAAACCGAGUGAUCUAGGCAUGGCCAGGCUGAAGGCAAGGUAACACUUGCUCGAGGGCCGAACCCACAUCUGUUGAAAAAGGUCGGGAUGAGCUGUGCCUAGGGGUGAAAGGCCAAUCAAACUCGGAGAUAGCUGGUUCUCCGCGAAAUCUAUUUAGGUAGAGCGUCGGACGAAUGCCCUCGGGGGUAGAGCACUGGAUGGGUAAUGGGGCCCCACAGGCUUACUGAUCCUAACCAAACUCCGAAUACCGAGGAGCAAUAUCCGGCAGACACACUGCGAGUGCUAACGCCCGUAGUGGAGAGGGAAACAACCCUGACCGACAGCUAAGGCCCCUAAUUCGUGGCUAAGUGGGAAAGCAUGUGGGACGACCAAAACAACCAGGAGGUUGGCUUAGAAGCAGCCAUCCUUUAAAGAUAGCGUAAAAGCUCACUGGUCUAAAUAAGUUAUCCUGCGGCGAAGAUGUAACGGGGCUCAAGCCACGAGCCGAAGCUUCGGGCCGCGAAAGCGGCGGUAGCGGAGCGUUCUGUGAUCGGGGAAAGCAAAAUUCCGGACCUUCGGGACUGGAUAGGCUUUCUCUGCUGCGAAGCCCGGCCGCGAGGUUGCGGGUGGAGCGAUCAGAAGUGAGAAUGAUGACAUGAGUAGCGAUAAACAGGGUGAGAAACCCUGUCGCCGAAAGUCCAAGGGUUCCUGCUUAAAGCUAAUCUGAGCAGGGUGAGCCGGCCCCUAAGGCGAGGCCGAAAGGCGUAGUCGAUGGGAACCAGGUUAAUAUUCCUGGGCCGGGAGGAUGUGACGGAUCGCAACUGUUGUUCAACCUUAUCGGAUUGGUUGGGCAGCUUAGCGGUUCCCGGAAAUAGCCCUCCAUCAGACCGUACCCUAAACCGACACAGGUGGACUGGUAGAGCAUACCGAUGGCGCUUGAGAGAACCAUGCUGAAGGAACUCGGCAAAAUGCCUCCGUAAGUUCGCGAGAAGGAGGCCCGGUUCGAAGGCAACUUCGAGCCGGGGGCACAAACCAGGGGGUGGCGACUGUUUACUAAAAACACAGGGUUCUGCGAAGCCGCAAGGCGACGUAUAGGGCCUGACGCCUGCCCGGUGCCGGAAGGUUAAGAGGAGGUGUGCAAGCUCCGAAUCGAAGCCCCGGUAAACGGCGGCCGUAACUAUAACGGUCCUAAGGUAGCGAAAUUCCUUGUCGGGUAAGUUCCGACCUGCACGAAUGGCGUAACGACUUCCCCGCUGUCUCCAGCGUGGACUCAGCGAAAUUGAACUGCCUGUUAAGAUGCAGGCUUCCUGCGGUUAGACGGUAAGACCCCGUGAACCUUUACUACAACUUCGCAUUGGCAUCAGGCUUGCGAUGUGCAGGAUAGGUGGUAGGCGACGAAGUGGUGGCGCAAGCUGCCGCGGAGCCAUCCUUGAGAUACCACCCUUCGCACUCUUGGUGUCUAACCGCGGUCCGUAAUCCGGAUCCGGGACCGUGCGUGGCGGGUAGUUUGACUGGGGCGGUCGCCUCCCAAAGAGUAACGGAGGCGCGCGAAGGUGGGCUCAGAGCGGUCGGAAAUCGCUCGUAGAGUGCAAUGGCAGAAGCCCGCCUGACUGCGAGACUGACAGGUCGAGCAGAGACGAAAGUCGGCCAUAGUGAUCCGGUGGUCCCG